CACGUAGGGCGCAAGCGUUGUCCGGAAUUAUUGGGCGUAAAGAGCUCGUAGGCGGUUCAGUAAGUCGGGUGUGAAAGCUCCGAGCUCAACUCGGAGAGGCCACCCGAUACUGCUGUGACUUGAGUCCAGUAGAGGAGCGUGGAAUUCCUGGUGUAGCGGUGAAAUGCGCAGAUAUCAGGAGGAACACCGGUGGCGAAGGCGGGUUGCUGGGCCGACACUGACGCUGAGGCGCGAAAGCUAGGGGAGCGAACGGG
rnacentral:rRNA from 1 species